AAGUGGGCCAUUUUUGGUAAGCAGAACUGGCGAUGUGGGAUGAACCAAACGCGGAGUUAAGGUGCCAAAGUUUCCGCUCAUCAGACCCCAUAAAAGGUGUUGGUUGAUAUAGACAGCAGGACGGUGGCCAUGGAAGUCGGAAUCCGCUAAGGAGUGUGUAACAACUCACCUGCCGAAUCAACUAGCCCUGAAAAUGGAUGGCGCUAGAGCGGAACACCUAUACUCUGCCGUUAGCGGCUUGUAUUCCGCGCUUGCGUGGAUAUCUGGCCCUAACGUGUAGGCGGGUCGUAGCGGUUUGCGUAGAAGGCUUUGGGCGUGGGCCCAGCUGGAGCUUCCGCUAGUGCAGAUCUUGGUGGUAGUAGCAAAUAUUCAAGUGAGAUCCUUGAAGACUGAAGUGGAGAAGGGUUCCACGUGAACAGCAGUUGAAUGUGGGUCAGUCGAUCCUAAGGCACCGGCUAAUGCCGUUAUCUACUACGACGCUUACUAUUGCAUCUUCGGGUGUGAUGGCGCCGUAUGCCGAAAGGGAAGCAGGUUAAUAUUCCUGCACCAGGACAAGGAGAGGGUCGCCCGCAAGGGUGGCUAAGCGCGGUAACGCAAACGAACUCGCAGACGUUGUGUGGAGUCCGAGCCAGAGUUCUCUUUUCUGGUUUAGGAGUCGUGUCCCUGGAAACGGUUCAGCCGGAGAUAGGGAUGUUGACUAUUUUCCGUAAAGCAUCGCGGUUCCUGCGGUGUCUCGUGCGCUCCACACGACCCUUGAAAAUGCGAGGGAGGCUUUGUAAAUUUCUUGCCUGGUCGUACCGAUAUCCGCAGCAGGUCUCCAAGGUGAACAGCCUCUAGUCGAUAGAAUAAUGUAGGUAAGGGAAGUCGGCAAAAUAGAUUCGUAACUUCGGGAAAAGAAUUGGCUCUAAAGGUUGGGUCGGUCGGGCUGUUGUGUGAAACAGGCGGCGCCUGUCCGUGGCUGCGUCGGUUGCCCCUCGGGGUGGCUGGUGUGGACUAGUGGUGGGAACUGCUUGUGGAGCACUUCAGCUAUGUGCCCGUCGGCAACGGCGGUGCACUUCGGUCGGCGAUAAACAACCAACUUAGAACUGGCACGAACUCGGGGAAUCCGACUGUCUAAUUAAAACAGAGGAGACGGAUGGUCCUUGUGGACGUUGACCGUGUCUGACGUCUGCCCAGUGCUUUGAAUGUUAAAACAAGGAAACUUGAUUAAGCGCAGGUAAACGGCGGGAGUAACUAUGACUCUCUUAAGGUAGCGAAAUGCCUCGGCCGGUAAUUUCGGUCUUGCAUGAAUGGCGUAACGAGAUUCCCACUGUCCCUAUCUACUAUCUAGCGAAACCACAGCCAAGGGAACGGGCUUGGCGAACUUAGCGGGGAAAGAAGACCCUGUUGAGCUUGACUCUAGUCUGACUUUGUGAAGAAUCAUGAGAGGUGUAGCAUAAGUGGGAGGCCGCAAGGUCGACAGUGAAAUACCACUACUUUCAUCGAUUCCUUACUUAAUCGGUCGAACGGUGUUGAAAGCAAUUUCUUAAUUUUGGUGUUAAGGCUGGCCACUCGGUGGCCGGUCGAUCCGCGCCGAUGACAGUGUCAGGCGGGGAGUUUGACUGGGGCGGUACAUCUACAAAACUGUAACGUAGGUGUCCUAAGGCGAGCUCAGAGAGGACGGAAACCUCUCGUAGAGCAAAAAGGCAAAAGCUUACUUGAUCUUGAUUUUCAGUACGAAUACAGACCGCGAAAGCGUGGCUUAUCGAUCCUUUUGAGUUGUAGAAAGUUUCUAGCAAGAGGUGUCAGAAAAGUUACCACAGGGAUAACU
rnacentral:rRNA from 1 species